rnacentral:rRNA from 1 species
GGAGUAUGGACCGUUCUCAGUUCCAUUGUGGCCGUUCAACCUCUCAGUCCGGCUACGCAUCAUCGCCAUGGUGGGCUAUUACUCCGCCAUCUAGCUAAUGCGCCGCAGGCCCCUCUCUAAGUGAUAAAUCUUUAAUGAUCCUAGGAUGCCCUAAAAUCACCUAUCGAGUAUUAUCCGUCGUUUCCAACGGUUAUCCUCGUCUUAAAGACAGGUUACCUACGUGUUACUCACCCGUUCGCCAUGGUAUUGCUACCAUUCGACUUGCAUGUAUUAGGCACGCCGCCAGCGUUAAUC